GACGAACGCUGGCGGCGUGCUUAACACAUGCAAGUCGAACGGAAAGGCCUGCUUUCCCUUGUGGAUUGCGGGUACUCGAGUGGCGAACGGGUGAGUAACACGUGAGUGAUCUGCCCCCAACUUGGGUAUAAGCCUGGGAAACUGGGUCUAAUUCCCGAUAGGACUGCAGGGUGGUGCCUGUGGUGGAAAACGAUUUUCUAGUGGUUGGGGAUGGGCUCGCGGCCUAUCAGCUUGUUGGUGGGGUAAUGGCCUACCAAGGCGGCGGCGGGUAGCCGGCCUGGGAGGGUGGACGGCCAACUGAGGACCGGGAUACGGCCCAGACGGCGGCGGGAGGCAGCAAUGGGAAGAAUGCGCAAUGAGCGGAAGCGUGAUGCAGCGAGGCAGCGUGGGGGAUGACGGCCUUCGGGUUGUAAACUCCUUGGGACCGAGAGGAGGCCACCUGGUUGGAAGGGUGGUGACGGUAGUGGUAGAAGAAGCACCGGCUAACUACGUG
rnacentral:rRNA from 1 species